rnacentral:rRNA from 1 species
UACGGAGGAUGCGAGCGUUAUCCGGAUUUAUUGGGUUUAAAGGGUGCGUAGGCGGACUUAUAAGUCAGUGGUGAAAUCUCGUUGCUUAACAACGAACGUGCCAUUGAUACUGUAGGUCUUGAGUACAGAUGCCGUUGGCGGAAUGUGUCAUGUAGCGGUGAAAUGCAUAGAUAUGACACAGAACACCGAUUGCGAAGGCAGCUGACGAAACUGUAACUGACGCUGAGGCACGAAAGCGUGGGGAUCAAACAGG